CUCACAUAUAACAUUCCAACCCCAGCCCCGGUAACCAAACCACCGAAACUACACCACAGAACUUGGAAAGCCCAGCUGUAGACCGUGACGUCAAACUGCAGCUCUCCGUUGCGCCCAGUGUACGUAUGAGUGGCCGACCACCCAUGCCAUCCAACCUGUAAAACAUAAAGCAAACUUAGACAACCACAAAACAACCACCAACAUUCCCCCUUUUCCAUCCUCCAACUUAAACCAACUUGUCUGGCCUAAUGUAAGACCUGAACCUCAGGGACUCCCACCUGCCAAUCUUUUUCACCCGUUCGUCACCUAAACCUAGUCUCGCUGCUUCAGUAGCCGCACCAGUCCUGAAAGAAUGUGUCCCGAAUUGGCCCGGGUCCACACCCAACCUUGCCAACGCCUUCUGAAAAACCUCGAGGAACUGGAACUUCGAUAGCGAAGAGCCGUCCUCAUGCUUGAAAUAUGAACCCCCGGCCAUUGCCCGCACCUCCCGGAAGGCCGUUGCGCACUUAACCGGGCAAGUUCUCCCACCCGGGAGCUCCCACAACGUAACCAACGUUCCUUUCCCCAUUACAUCCGUUUUGGACCGCCUCACCCUUGGCGAUUGCUGCUAACUAGCUUGAUGACCCGAUAUGCCCCAAAAAAGGCAAAACUAAAAACCACGGAAAACAACGUCACUUUGUAUCCUGAAAAACACACCGCGGGCAGCACUCGGACCACCCGCUGCAGCAAUUCGAAUGACACCGGCCUCCUAGUAUCCACUGACACUUUACCCCUCCUGAAACCUUUCAGUGCCUGUCUAACCAGAAAUUUUUUGGUAGCAUCCUCCCACCCGUUAAAUUUGAACAAGAACGCUAGCGCUGCCAGCUUACGCCCCAUCACCGCUGCCGAAACCCCUGUGGUAACUGACCUACACAAGAGCCACAGCAGCGCAUCCAACCGCGCCUCCUCUGAGAGCUGACCCCCUGUCUGCUGCACCAGUUCGUCCCAUUCCCCCCACACCUUACUGUAUGCCACCCAGGUACCGGGUGCCAGAGAAUCCCUGAUCAGUCCGCCAAGCAUGAUGUCCCGAGCCGCCACAUAUCGUCCGGGCAAGACAUCCCUUCCUCCCGUGCGCCAGGUGCCACCUGCCGAAAUCUCUCCCACUGUGAACGAGAC